CUGUUGUUGAAUGUCAUGAAAAAAAGUUAUUAGUCUCUUAACUAGAUGAAAAUGGGAGAUUUUGAUCACUAAAAAAAAAUAUAUGAAAAUGGGAGAUUUUGAUCACUAAAAAAAAACAUUUAUUCUAUAGUAAAUAAAAAGAAAUAAUUCAUCAGUUUCAUAAUAAGUGUUAUUUUAUGUUUAUUUUUUUUGUUUCAAAAUAAAUGUCAUUCUACAGUUUUAAUGUAACUUUGUAUAUUAAAUUCAUUUUUACCCUUUUGAAUAGCUAAAAAGUUUUUAUUUAAGCUAUUUAUAUUUAAUUAAUCAUACAUAAAUAAGGAUAUAUUAGCCUAUUAGACAAUUUUCUCGUUUUUAUUUGUGCAAAAUCAUGAUGAAAUAGGCUAUUUUUCCUAACAAAUGAAGUCCAAAAUGAGACACUCUAAUUUAAUAAAUUAGACAAGUCAGAAAAGUGUGUUGGGCUUUGAAUAGAACAACUUCCGAAUAUGUUUUGAGUCUUUUGACAUGUUAUCACAUGUUUUUAUAUUUUUGGUUGUAUGUUAUGGUCCAUUUCUUGAACUUCUUAUCGGAUGUUGUAUUCCAAAUCUGAAACACUUCUUGACUAUUAAAAUAGUUUUGAUAGUGUUAUACAAAAUAUUUUCAAUCGUUCAUAGAUAUUGUCGUUUGAUUCAUAUAGUUCAUGUGACUUUUAAUUAGUACAUUAUUUUUGUGAGAGAUAAUGAUUAUAUAGUGGAUAUUUGUUUGUAUACCUCACAGUUAUUUUUUCAAUUUAAAAUAUAAAUAUGAGAAUGGUAGUAUAUUUAUUACCAAACAAAUAAAACAACAAAGAAAUGCAAAUAUUUAAUGUUUUCAAUAAGCAAAAAAAGAAAUCAUCAUUUAAAAAAAAGUAUAACACAUUACAAAUCAAAAAAUUGUAGAGUUUAUAUAUCCUCUUAUUUAAUAUCCAAUUGAUAUAAUAUAUGUAUUUUGAGAAAAUAAUAAAUAAAUGUAAUAUUCUUUUGAACAUAAUAAAUAUAAUAUUAUUUUCUGGGUGUAAAAUAAAUAAGUAUAAUACUAUCCAAUCGUAAUACGGAAGAAACUGAAUAGCCUUUUAAACCCUGAGAUACACAAAUUCUAAACAGUCUCUAUCUCCCUCUCUUUCUCUCUCGCUACUGGAUCUUUCAUUCAAGCGGCUAACUGAGUCAAUAAUGAGUGAACUCGGUCUUGGAACCCAUCAUGCCACGCCUGCAUCACCAGAGACGACGACAUUUCUCGAUUUGCUCCGACAGAUAGACGGCCACGAUCACACCAGGAGAAAGAAACGGACUCUUAAGGAACGGCUAGGAUUUAAAAGAAUUGGCUGCUGUGGGCCCGCUUGGGGACUCCGGUUAACUAAUAACAGUCGCGCUAGAGAAAGAGACGAACCAUUCGAAACCGGACUCGUUUCCGAGUUGGAUCAUGUAACGGGUCGAAUGAAUCUUGCAACGGCGUUAGCGGCGGAAAGGCAUUACCAAAGAGAACCAACGGCAGCAUCAUCUGGGAGUUCGACGCCGUUACCAGUGUCGUUAAUGAGAUUGCUCGAGGAAACGGCGGAGAGAGUUGUCGUCGAAGGGACGGAAACGGAGAGAGUAACGGCGUCGUCGACGGUUAAAGGUAGUGAUUCAGUGUGUUGCGUGUGCAUGGGAAGGAAGAAAGGCGCGGCGUUUAUUCCAUGUGGACACACUUUUUGCAGAGUCUGCUCUCGAGAGGUGUGGCUGAAUCGAGGAUCGUGUCCCCUCUGUAACCGUCCGAUCAUCGAGAUCCUCGACAUUUAUUGAAAAAAUUUAAUCGUGCACGUGACUUCAGUGAUUGUGGUGCGUCUAGAGAUUCACGAGGGUGUUAAUUGCGUUUUCUAUGUUUCCGUUAUUGGAAAUUGGAAUAAAUAUUAUUGAAGUUCAAAAGUAAAACAUAAGUUGCAGCCAUGUCCUGAUCCUCUUGAAGUUCUUUUCUUUUGGUUAAAUGUUGAGAACCUUUACGAAAAUAUAUAUCAAAACAUUAGAUGUUCUCCAGGUUUGUAUGAGCAACACCAACUCAGUCAUGUGAGGAAAUUAAUUGAAUAAAAAACUGAAUGUUGUUACCUCAUCAAAUAAGUAUUCAUGGGCAUCUUAUGCAUCUUACAAGAAGUAUGACGUAACAACACCAACUCAGUCAUGUGAGGAAAUUAAUUGAAUAAAAAACUGAAUGUUGUUACCUCAUCAAAUAAGUAGGGAAGCAUCUUACGAGAAGUGGAUUUCUUAGAAUGGAGUUGCUUAAUUAUAUUCCCUUUUGUGUUGCUCAUUUUCUUUUGAGCUGAUUAAACUCAUCAGUAACCUGUAGAUCAAUCAAGUUGGCCUCGCACUCGAGGAAACGUAUACAUUUGCUCAUCAUUUUAUAUCGAGUUAUUAUUUGUCCAUUUACAACUUUCUCUCGAUUUACGGUUUUCCGCGAACCCAAAGCUGGGAUGUGACACGGAAAAUAACACUAUACUGAAUAUGUAAAACUGAUUAUCGGUGUUAAAUGUAUGUAAAAAAAACUAAAAUUAUGAAAACAUUUUUUUUACAAAAUGAUUUGUGUGUGUAGUGACUUUCAUAGUGAGGAAUGUUUUCUGAAACUGAAUGUAUAUAUAUGUUAUGAAAUUUACAAGAAUUUAGUUGGAAGAAGUCUCAAGGAAUAUAUAUGUAAAAACAAAGUAGUGUAAAUUACGAUUACUAUCUCUAAAAGCAAGCAAUCAAGAACACUCUCCUAUAUAUGUAUUUAUUAAAGGUCUGUAUGUGCUUUCAAUAUUGUAAACUACAAUUACUCUCUAAAUAUAUUUGAAUCCUCUAACAGAUUCAACAUUUCAAUUCUUAUAGCGAUUAUCUUCUGCUCUGGUGGAAGGAUUUGCAAUUGGAUUUGAUAGAAGUUGAAGAGUGCCUGAGAACGAAAGGAGGAAGAGAGUGGGGCUCAGAGGAAGAAAAACACUUAUUGUGAUAGAGUGAUGAUGAAAGGGGCAGAAGCUAAUUAGGAAGUAUAAUAACAACCCGCAAGUUAACUUUCAACCUUAAAAAGUUUACAUGAUAAUAAGAUUUAUAACCAAAAUUUUCAAUCUUAUAACUGAAAUACUAACAGCAAUAUUAAAAAAAAAAAACUAGACUCUAAAUUAGAGAAUAUUUAUUGAAACCCCACAUGUAUAUGCAGCGGUUCACCUAGUAAUCAUAAAGGUUGGAAUACAUACACUUAUGUAACCUAAAUUUUAAAUAAUAGAAUCAUCUAAAGAUAUAUAAAAAUCUAGAAUUUUUUUUUCAUUAUACAUAUGAUAUCUUUGGAUCUUUUCUACUCAAUUAAAGAGUUUGAGCAUCAAGUGGCUUUUUUUAUCUCACAACCAUCAAAUUAUAAUAACCAGGAAGAAAAACUACAAAAAUCACAUUGAAGAAGGAGAAAACAUUCUAGAGUGUCCAUCUCUGAAUUUUUAUUCGACCAUUUUACAUCUCCAUCUCAAUGCAGCAACAACAACAAAAGAAAAGUUAUAAAACAACAAUAGAUUUCUAAGGACAAAAAAAUAAGAAAAUUGCGGACAAAUAUGUUCUCAUACGAAACUAUUAGCAUUUUGUCGAAAAGAGUUUUUCAAAACUGAAACUGAUAAAAUUUAUAGUCAUUUGAAUAUGUCACAAGAAAAAUUAAAUGAUUUGACUAUCUUACCUAUUAAAAUAAAAUUUUAAGCAAUCAUAAUUUUUAAAGUCUUGUCAAUGAGUGUUUAUAGGAAAAAAAUUAAGAAAAAAUGUUAAAAGUAUUAGUUUUUGUUUCUAGGUUUUUUUGCUGUAACAAUGAUAUUUCUGAGGUAUUUUUUUUCUAAAUAAGGGCAUAAAUUUUGUUUAUCGCUUAUGUAUAAAAAUUUUGCUCACACGGCUAAGAGCUACAUAUGUAAAUGUAAUAUUUACUAAGAAAUUAAAAAAAAAAUGUUUACUAAGAAAUCGCAAGAUAAUUUGAUAAAGAACUUUGAAAAACAUUUUUGGUACAAAUGUUAGAAUUUAUACCAUUUUGGAAGAUAUAUGGUUGUUGUUGAACAUCAUAUAGCAUAUAUAGAAAUAAGGCGAAUAAAAAAAAAAUUACACGUUAAGAGCAAGAUUAACCCUAAACCCCAUUGAAAGUAUCUUAACUAAUAUUUAAUAGUAAUUGUGGGCUAACAGACUUAGUUAAGAGACGACCCAAUAAAAUGUUGUACAAUGCUAGUCUCUUAAUUUAGGGUUCUUAAAAAUAAAAAAUUAAUAUAUAUUAAAAAAUUAUUUCUUAAAUAAAACAUAUUAAACAUGAAUAUAACAUUUUAAACAUUGAUUUGAAAAUAAAAACAUGAAACAAAGGUGAAACAAACAUGAAAUAUGAAACGAGAAUAAUUUGAAAGAACCAUCGUAGUUUAGUUGUUGUCUUCAUCACGUCCAAAUUUACGCCAUAUAUGUUCGACCAAAUCAUUUUUCAUCUGUUGAUGCAUUUGUCUAUCACGAAUUCUAGUGCGAACACCCAUCAUAUUGGCGAUGUUUGUAGGGAUAUCUGUAUAAUAUGUGAAAUCGACAUGUGAACUUCCGUUGUCUUCUGCUUCUUGGAACUCUGAAAGGUCAAAUUGAGUGUAUCUAUCUCGUUCGUCUUCUACUAUCAUAUUAUGGAGUAUGAUACAAGCUCUCAUAAUAUUCUCAAUUUUGACUUUAUCCCAAAAAAAUGUUGGAUUUCUAACAAUGGCAAAGCGAGCUUGCAGGACUCCAAAAGCACACUCAUCUUUUCGGACAGGUUCUUGUUGUUGAGCAAAUAAAACUGCUUUUGGACCUUGUGGUAAUGUAAUUGAUUGGAUAAAAGUUGCCCAUUUCGGAGAGAAGAGUAAAGAGCAAAACCCUAAUUUAUAGCCGUCAGUCUAUGUGUGUGUUCAAGUUUGGAUCUCCUCCUUAGUUACUCUUGUCCUCCUUUUAUAGAUAAACAUUUUCAUAUGUUCGCCCUAAGUUUGUUUGACCUAAUGGGCUGAGCCGUGCUUUAUGGGCCAAGCACCUAGGCCGAGCAUUCGAACUGGUAAGCCGAGCUCGCAAGCCGAGCUGAUGGUGCCGAGUAAAGUCAAGCCGACUAUGUGAGGCGAAUCCUUUAUUUGAUGGCUUUUGUGAAGGGAUGUAAUCUUUUAGAAAAUUCUGUUUAAGUUGGAUUUUAUAUAUCCUUUUGAUUUUGUUUCUUUAUUUGCCAAAUAUUUAGAUUAUUUUAUAUCUUACUAGGAUUUUUCUUCUUGGCAAAUACAGAAAUAACAGAAGUAACAGAUUUUAACCUUUUUUUUUUUGGAUUUUAGCUUUUUUGGUUAAAAGUUGAAAUACACAAAAAAUGAUAUAUGAAAAGAUAUUUUUUAUCUGGUUCUUGUUCAUUUGUGACGGGUGGAAAUUUAUUUGGAAAAUAUUAAUUUUUUUUAUUUGUUUUAUGGUGAUUUUUUUUAUCGAAAGCAGACACAAUGAAAUUAGAGAAUAUUUCAUGCUAAAUCUUAUGAAAUCAAUGAAUCAAAUACAAAAUAAUAUAGUAUAGCCAAACUUAAGAAGUAAAAAUAUUGUUGUGCAAUAAUUUUGGUAUAAUUUUAAAUAAUAAAUAUAAAUAUAUUAGUACAUAUAUAAGAACUUGAUAGAGGGUUUGAAUCUUUCAUAUCUUACAAAUUUGGAGUAUUAGACUAUUGCAAAUGUUGCCUUUCCCCCUAUUUUCUUACUUUUUUUUUGCUUUGCUCUCCAUAAGUUCAAAACAAAUUGAUUUGAUUUCGAGUUAAUAAUACUGAAAAUCCAUAUUACAUGUCUCUAAAUUUUCCCCAUUAUUCUAAAAACAGCAGAAUACAUUAGUAGUUUGAAAUAUGAUAUUUAGGUUAAAUAGCUGGACACAACUAAUCUCAAAGCACUCAAGAACUUAGACACAAAUUAUUGCCAAACGUAAAUUUCAUAUUAAUAUUAGACGAGUCUGUAAAUUUUUAAAAAAAUUAGAACUUAGUUAAGUCAGCCUUGAAAAAGAGAGGGCAUUUCGGUUUAAUUACGGGUUCUGUCUGGAUUCGGUUUGGUUUGGGUUAUUUGGGUAUAAGAAAACUUGAACCAAAAUCAACCCAAAAUUAAUUUGGUUUGGUAUAUUUUUGGUUUUGUUUGAAUUUAAUUCGGUUUGUGUUCAGUUUGGUUUUAGUUCAAUUUUAGUUCGGUUUAAUUUGGUUUAAUUUGUAUUUUUCAGUUCAAUUUAUCAAAAGGGUUAAUACAUUUCUUAUCAUUUUUUUUUUCCAUUUUUGUUUUCUCUCUUCUUUUUCAUCUUUUAGAAAAAAUCAGUUUAAAUUGGAUUUCACAUAUUAUUUUGAUUUCAUUUCUUUAUUUUCCAAAUAUUUAGAUUAUUUUAUACCUUACUUGAAUUUUUCUUCUUGCCAAAUAUAGAAGUAACAGAUUUUCACUCUUUUUGGUUUUUAGUUUUUUUUUGUUAAAAGUUGAAAUACACAUAAUGAUGGAAAAUAUAUUUUUCCUCUCGUUCUUGUUCAUUUGUGACAGGUGGAAUUUUGAUUGAAAUAUUGAUUUUUUUCUUAAUUGUUUUAUGAUGAAUUUUUUUUAUCGAAAGCAGGCACAAUGAAAUUAGACUAUUCAUGCUAAAUAUUAUGGAAUCAAGAUAUUAAAUUCAAAAAUAAUAAUAUAUCCAAACUUAAGAAGUAAAAUUAUUUUUGUACAAUAAUUUGGAAUAAUUUAAAAUAAUAAAUAUAAAUAUAUUAAUGAAUAUACUGUAUAAGAACUUGCUAGAGGGUUUGAAUCUUUCAUAUCUUACAAAUUUGGACUAUGGGACUAUUGCAAAUGUUGUCUUUUCCUUUCCUAGUUCUGUUUUUGCUGUCCGCAACUUCAAAACAAAUUGAUUUCGACUUAGUAAAACUGAAAAUUGCAUAUUAAAUGUCUCUAGGUUUUUCCCCAUUAUUCUAAAAACAGAAGAAUACAUUAGUGGUUUGAAAUAUGAUAUUUAGGUUAAGUAGCUCGAAACAACUUAUCCGAAAGACACUCAAGAACUUAGACAGAACUUAUUAUUGGGCCCCUUAUUAUUUUGUUUUGCCAAAUGUGAAUUUCAUAUUAUUAUUAGACGAGUUUAAAAUUUUUUUAAAAUAUUUUGAACUUAGUCAAGUCGCCCUUGACAAAGAUAAAUUAAAGAAGGCUGAGUUAACAAGUUUGGUCACUCAUAACGAAGCCACAGCUGCAUAAUAUUUAAAUUCUAUUUUGAUGAAAAAAGGUGAUGAAUAUCUUAAGUUUAAUUACAUCAAAUGAAUAGGCAUGCAUUCCAGUUGAUACUGUUCUCUUCAGAUUUACCAACCCAAUGAACGUUUCAAAGAAUGAAACUCUGCACAUAGAGGUAAGAAGUGGUCAAUGCUUCCAAGAAAGAAACAAAGCAAUGCAGCCUUCUAAUCAAAUACAUGAGUGAAUUUCAGUCGAAAGACAGAGAACUAGGGGUGGUCCCAGCUGUAUGUUUAUAGUUAUGAGUUUUUUUCAAUAGUUUUAGUUGGAAGAAGUCUCAAGGAAUAUAUAUGGAAAAAAAAAAGUAGUGUAAAUUACGAUUACUAUCUCUAAAAGCAAGCAAUCAAGAACACUCUCCUAUGUAUUUAUUAAAGGUCUGUAUGUGCUUUCGAUAUUGUAAACUACAAUUACUCUCUAAAUAUAUUUGAAUUCUCUAACAGAUUCAACAUUUCAAUUCUUAUAGCGAUUAUCUUCUGCGCUCUGGUGGAAAGAUUUGCAAUUGGAUUUGAUAGAAGUUGAAGAGUGUCUGAGAACGAAAGGAGGAAGACUCAGAGGAAGAAAAACACUUAUUGUGUGAUAGAGUGAUGAUGAAAGGGGCAGAAGCUAAUUAGGAAGUAUAAUAACAAACCGCAAGUUAACUUUCAAUCUUAAAAAGUUUACAUGAUAAUAAGAUUUAUAACCAAAAUUUCAAUCUUAUAACUGAAAUAUUAACAGCAAUAUUCAAAAAAAAACUAGACUCUAAAUUAGAGAAUAUUUAUUGAAACCCCGCAUGUAUAUGCAGGGGUUCACCUAGUAAUCAUAAAGGUUGGAAUACAUAUAUACACUUAUGUAGCCUAAAUUUUAAAUAAUAGAAUCAUCUAAAGAUAUAUUAAAGAGUUUGACCAUCAAGUAGCUUUUUUAUCUCACAACCAUCAAAUUAUAAUAACCAGGAAGAAAAACUACAAAAAUCACAUUGAAGAAGGAAAAACAUUCUAGAUUGUCCAUCUCCGAAUUUUUAUUCGACCAUCUUAUAUCUCCAUCUCAAUGCAGCAACAACAACAAAAGAAAAGUUAUAAAACAACAAUAGAUUUUUAAGGACAAAAAAUAAGAAAAUUGCGGACAAAUAUGUUCUCAUACGAAACUAUUAGCAUUUUGUCGAAAAGAGUUUUUUAAAACUGAAACUGAUAAAAAAUUUAUAGUCAUUUGAAUAUGUCACAAGAAAAAAUAAAUGAUUUGGCUAUCUUACCUAUUAAAAUAAAAUUUUAAGCAAUAAUAAUUUUUAAAGUCUUGUCAAUGAGUGUUUAUAGGAAAAAAUGAAGAAAAAAUGUUAAAAGUAUUAUUUUUUGUUUCUAGUGUUUUUUUGUAACAAUGAUAUUUCUGAGAUAUUUUGUUUCUAUAUAAGGGCAUAAAUUUUGUUUAUCGCUUAUGUAUAAAAUUUUUGUUCGCACGGCUAAGAGCUACAUAUGUAAAUGUAAUGUUUACUAAGAAAUUAAAAAAAAAAUGUUUACUAAGAAAUCACAAGAUAAUUUGAUAAAGAACUUUGAAAAACAUUUUUGGUACAAAUGUUAGAAUUUAUACCAUUUUGGAAGAUAUUUGGUUGUUGUUGAACAUCAUAUAGCAUAUAUAGAAAUAAGGCAAAUAAAAACAAAAACAUUACACGUUAAGUGAAGAGAACCUAAAUAGACUUCAAGAAACGGAUAAUGUCGGAUAGAAUAGAAGCCGAGGAGGAGUCCCAUCGAUUUAUAUAUUUUUUUGAAGUUCAGAACUCAAGUUCCUUUAUCUCAUCAUUUCGCCAACUCUCAGAACCAUACGUCCCGAGCCCUUCCAACCAUCGCUUGUUUCUGCAAGUACAAUUGUUUGAACAAAGUAUAAAUUUGACACUCUUCUGAGUGGCGGCUUGUACAAUAUUGUCCAUAGUUACCGUCUCGUCAUCAAACUCUUUACAAUGUGAAACAUUAAGGAUCGCAAGGUUUUGGAGGCCUGUAAUUAGCAACAAAACUCCUGGUCUGCUGACAUAAGCGCAUUGCAAACUCAGCCUCUUGAUGUUCUUGAAGUAACGCACGAUUUCCUCAGCAGUCUCUUUUCCUAAACCACCCAAAUAUUUUAAGUUUGUGAGAUUACUACAGUUCUCUCCCACUACUUGAAACUCUAAAUUCUCUGUGAGAGGGUCAUCAUGAGCGAUAAUCAAUGUCUUCAGAUUCUUCCAUUUACUGAACGCAAACCCAAAUGAAUUCUUGGAUAGGUAGCACCAGCGCGGUAAAACAAGUUUCUCUAUGUUUGGCAUGCUAUCAUGAAACAAAAGAAAAUGAGACACACUACAAACACAAAUCAGUUUUUUCAAUUCAGUUUUAAGGAUGAAAUUUACCUGGCAGCAGCGAACAUGAGAAUUUCGUCAUCUAAAGAGGAACAACAGCCAAAGACCAAAUUCACCGGGACACUGCGGCUAAACUUGGUGAUAUUCCUAAGACUUCUGCUUGUUUCACUAAUGUCAGAAUUCUUGAAGUUUUCCGUAAAAGCAAUCCUAUAUCUUAGUUCAUUAAGUCUUAGGUCUUUAUCUGUUUGUCGGAACUUAUCAAGGUCAACAGUGUUCCAUAGACUUUUAUUGUGGGCGGCAAGGAACCAGGAGAUGCAGACGCCUGACGCUCCCAUGGUAAGGUCCUCUACGUUUAGCUUGCGGAAGAUAACGGAAAGUAUGCCCCUGUCCAGAGUUUUCCAUUUUGAAACUUGUCUUGAGCUGUCUGCCUUGUCCAUCACGGCUCAACUACAUGCAUACAAAUGAGAACACGGUUAAGACAUUCUAGAUAGACAGAAUCUUGAAUCCAAAUUAAGAUCUUGAACAAAAAAAAGGACGAAGAAAAACAUGAGAACAAUAAUAGUUUUGCAUUCGAAUGAAAACUAUGUUAUUGGAUCUAUUUAACCAUUUUUUCUAAUAAUCUUGACAACAAAAACACAAUUUAUUACAUAUUUAUAUCUCUCUGCAGUCUGCAGAGGAAAACUCGCCUUUUGUCGUCAGAGCUAGCCGAAAAAGUAAAAGUCGGAGAGAAGAGUAAAGAGCAAAACCCUAAUUAUAGCCGUCAGUCUAUGUGUGUGUUCAAGUUUGGAUCUCCUCCUUAGUUGCUCUUGUCCUCCUUUUAUAGAUAAACAUUUUCAUAUGUUCGCCCUAAGUUUGUUUCACCUAAUGGGCUGAGCGGUGCUUUAUGGGCCAAGCACCUGGGCCGAGCAUUUGGACUGUUAAGCCGAGCUCGCAAGCCGAGCUGAUGGUGCCGAGUAAAGUCAAGCCGACUAUGUGAGGCGAAUCCUUUAUUUGGUGGCUUUUCUGAAUGGAUGUAAUCUUUUAGAAAAUUCUGUUUAAGUUGGAUUUCAUAUAUCCUUUUGAUUUCGUUUCUUUAUUUGCCAAAUAUUUAGAUUAUUUUAUACCUUACUAGGAUUUUUCUUCUUGGCAAAUACAGAAGUAACAGAUUUUAACUUUUUUUUUUUGGAUUUUAGUUUGUUUGGUUAAAAGUUGAAAUACACAAAAAUGAUAUAUGAUAAGAUAUUUUUUCUCUGGUUCUUGUUCAUUUGUGACGGUGGAAAUAUAUUUGGAAUAUAUUAAUUUUUUCUUAUUUGUUUUAUGGUGAUUUUCUUUAUUGAAAGAAGGCACAAUCAAAUUAGAGAAUAUUUCAUGCUAAAUUUUAUGAAAUCAAUGAAUCAAAUACAAAAUAAUAUAGUAUAGCCAAACUUAACAAGUAAAAAUUUUGUUGUACAAUAAUUUUGGUAUAAUUUAAACUAAUAAAUAUAAAUAUAUUUGUAAAUAUAUAAGAACUUGAUAGAGGGUUUGAAUCUUUCAUAUCUUACAAAUUUGGAGUAUUAGACUAUUGCAAAUGUUGUCUUUCCCCCUAUUUUCCUAGUUUUUUUUUGCUUUGCUCUCCAUAAGUUCAAAACAAAUUGAUUUGAUUUCGAGUUAAUAAUACUGAAAAUCCAUAUUACAUGUCUCUAAAUUUUCCCCAUUAUUCUAAAAACAGCAGAAUACAUUAGUAGUUUGAAAUAUGAUAUUUAGGUUAAAUAGCUGGACACAACUAAUCUCAAAGCACUCAAGAACUUAGACACAAAUUAUUGCCAAAUGUAAAUUUCAUAUUAACAUUAGACGAGUCUGCAAAUUUUUAAAAAAAUUUGAACUUAGUCAAGUCAGCCUUGAAAAAGAGAGGGCAUUUCGGUUUAAUUACGGGUUCUGUCUGGAUUCGGUUUGGUUUGGGUUAUUUAUGUCUAAGAAAACUUGAACCAAUGUCAACCCAAAAUUAAUUUGGUUUGGUUUAUUUUUGGUUUUGUUUGAAUUUAAUUCGGUUUGGUUUGUGUUCAGUUCGGUUUAAUUUGGUUUAAUUUGUAUUUUUCAGUUCAAUUUAUCAAAAGGGUUAAUACAUUUCUUAUCAUUUUUCUUUCCAUUUUUGUUUUCUCUCUUCUUUUUCAUCUUUUAGAAAAUUCUGUUUAAAUUGGAUUUCACAUAUUCUAUCGAUUUCAUUUCUUUAUAUUCUAAAUAUUUAGAUUAUUUUAUACCUUACUUGAAUUUUUCUUCUUGCCAAAUACAAAAGUAACAGAUUUUCACUCUUUUUGGUUUUUAGUUUUUUUGGUUAAAAGUUGAAAUACACAUAAUGAUGGAAAAUAUAUUUUUCCCCUCGUUCUUGUUCAUUUGUGACAGGUGGAAAUUUCGAUCAAAAUAUUGAUUUUUUUUCUUAUUUGUUUUAUGAUGAAUUUUUUUUAUCGAAAGCAGGCACAAUGAAAUUAGACUAUUCAUGCUAAAUAUUAUGGAAUCAAGAUAUUAAAUUCAAAAAUAAUAAUAUAUCCAAACUUAAGAAGUAAAAUUAUUGUUGUACAAUAAUUUGGAAUAAUUUAAACUAAUAAAUAUAAAUAUAUUAAUUAAUAUACUGUAUAAGAACUUGCUAGAGGGUUUGAAUCUUUCAUAUCUUACAAAUUUGGACUAUUGGACUAUUGCAAAUGUUGUCUUUUCCUUUCCUAGUUCUUUUUUUACUGUCAGCAACUUCAAAACAAAUUGAUUUCGACUUAGUAAAACUGAAAAUUCCAUAUUACAUGUCUCUAUUAUUUUGUUUUGCCAAAAGUGAAUUUCAUAUUAUUAUUAGACGAGUUUUAAAAAAUUUUAAAAUAUUUUGAACUUUGUCAAGUCACCCUUGACAAAGAUAAAUUAAAGAAGGCUGAGUUAACAUGUUGUAAAAAGUGAGUUUGGUCACUCAUAACGAAGCCACAGCUGCAUAAUAGUUAAAUUCUAUUUUGAUGGAAAAAGGUGAUGAAUAUCUUAAGUUUAAUUACAUCAAAUGAAUAGGCAUGCAUUCCAGUUGAUACUGUUCUCUUCAGAUUUACCAACCCUAUGAACGUUUCAAAGAAUGAAACUCUGCACAUAGAGGUAAGAAGUGGUGCAAUGCUUCCAAGAAAAAAAACAAAGCAAUGCAGCCUUCUAAUCAAAUACAUGAGUGAAUUUCAGUCGAAAGACAGAGAACUAGAGGUGGUCCCAGCUGUAUGUUUAUAGUUAUGAGUUUUUUUCAAUAGUUUUAGUUGGAAGAAGUCUCAAGGAAUAUAUAAGUAAAAAAAAAGUAGUGUAAAUUACGAUUACUAUCUCUAAAAGCAAGCAAUCAAGAACACUCUCCUAUGUAUUUAUUAAAGGUCUGUAUGUGCUUUCAAUAUUGUAAACUACAAUUACUCUCUAAAUAUAUUUGAAUCCUCUAACAGAUUUAACAUUUCAAUUCUUAUAGCGAUUAUCUGCUGCUCUGGUGGAAGGAUUUGCAAUUGGAUUUGAUAGAAGUUGAAGAGUGUCUGAGAAGGAAAGGAGGAAGAGAGUGGGGCUAUAAUAGAGCGGAAGUAACGUUAGUAACCGAUAAUGCGAAGGUAACGUUGAAUUCUGAGAAUGCCCGUUAACUAAGCCUUCUUAAAGUCUGUUGAAUUCUCAAAGAAUGCCCAGAAGCUAAAGAUCAAGAGUUGUUUAAAACAAAGCUCUAAGUUUUUAUAAAUCAAUAAUCAAAAAGUGUAUCUCUCACAAACCUAAGAGAUCACAUUAUAUAGUUAUUAGAAUUCCUAAAACGGACAUAAUAAAGGAAACCAAAUCAUUCUUGGAAAAAGAAUGUAAAGUUUAACUAAAAAGGCAAUAAGAAAAUAAGAAAACCAAAACCUAAGGGGAAUACGAUGUACGCUACAUCAGGUCCCCUCCCGUACGAGCGAUUCGUCCAUGAAUCCAGAAAGGAUGUGAUCAUCAGGUUCGUAUUUGAAAAGGUGCUUAACGUUGAAGACGUCGGCGGUAUGGACGUGGGGAGGUAAAGCUAGGCGAUAGGCGUUCGCAUUAAUCCUUUCGACAACCUCCACUGGACCAAUUUUCCGAGCUUUCAACUUGUUGUACUGACCAACAGGAAAUCGUUCUUUAGUUAACACAGCCCACACUUGGUCACCCACUUGAAAAUUCACUUCGCGGCGAUGCUUAUCUGCGGCUCUUUUAUACUUAAUAGUAGUGCCCUGAAGAUUAUCCUGGGCGCGAGCAUGCACCACCGCAAGCUCGUCAAUGAGCUCCACCGCCCGGCUGGUUGAGGCAAUGUCGACAAAGCCAAAGGCCCGCGAGGGACGAUCCCAUAGACGACUUUAAAAUGACUGAAGCCCAGUGACCUGUUGUGUGCAUGGUUGUGGGCAAACUCCGCUUGACAAAGUAAAUAAUCCCAAGACCUGAGGUUAUCACCCACCAGACACCACAACAUGUUACCCAAAGAGCGAUUGACAACUUCAGUUUGACCAUCAGUCUGAGGAUGGUACGUAGAGCUCAUAUCCAAACUUGUUUUAAAAAGCUUCCAAAGCGACCUCCAAAAAUGACUAAUGAACCGCGAAUCGCGAUCAGAAACUAUGGACUGCGGCAGACCAUGCAACCUAUAGACUUCGCAAAAGAACAAUAGAGCAACUUGAACCGCAUCCGUCGUCUUUCGACACGGAAUGAAGUGAACCAUCUUGGAGAAACGAUCAACGACGACAAAGAUUGAAUCGUUCCCACGUUGAGUCCGCGGCAAACCAAGAACAAAGUCCAUGCUGAUGUCGCUCUACGGCUGCAUCGGUAUUGGCAGAGGUAAGUACAAACCAGCGUUGGAGGCAUGUCCCUUUCCGCGCUGACAAGUCGUACAACGUGACACAAAUCUUUCCACGUCGCGUCUCAAUGUCGGCCAAAAAUAGGAAUCGGUAACAAGCUUCAGAGUUCAAUCUCGACCAACAUGUCCCUCGUUAUGCAAUUCCUGGAUAAUUUGUAACCGUAAACUGCACGUCGGGACGCAGACGCGAUUGUCUUUGAAGAUGAACCCAUCCACAAAAGAGAAAUCUGAUCGAACCCCAUGAGUCAGAUCCAUCCAGACCAAUGAGAAGUACGGGUCCGUUGGGUACAAAUCCGCAAAGCACUCGAACCCUAAAACAGAAACGCGUAACGUGGAGACCAAGGCGUGACGUCGGCUUAAGGCAUCAGCAACUUUAUUAAGUUUACCAGAUUGGUGCUUGAUAACAAACGUAAAUUGCUGCAAAUAAGCAGUCCAUGAAGCAUGGCGAGAAGAAAUUUUAUCCUGCGACCCUAAAUACUUUAAGGCCACAUGAUCCGUGAAUAAGAUAAACUCUUUAUGCGCCAGAUAGUGUCGCCAAUGCUUGAUGGCUUGAACAAUUUCAUAGAAUUCGACGUCGUACGUGCUGUAGCGUCCGCGAGCUCCCGCCAGCUUUUCGCUAUAAAACGCCACAGGUCGUCCAUGCUGACUGAGUACUGCUCCGAUGCCUAAUUUUGACGCAUCGCAGUGUAGUUCAAAAGGAGAAUCAAAAACGGGCAGCACUAAAAUAGGAGCUGUAGUAAGCUUAACUUUAAUGGUGGAGAAUGCCAUCGACGCCUCCGCGGUCCAAGUAAAUGACUCGCCCUUCAUACAAUCUGUGAUUGGGGCCAUUAUAGCACUGAAAUUGUGUAUAAAACGCCGAUAAAAAGACGCGAGGCCAUGGAAGCUUCGGACUUCGGAAAUCGUGGUCGGUGUAGGCCAUGAUGCGACGGCUUCUACCUUCUGCGGAUCCACCCUUAAGUCCGUAGAUGACACGACAUAACCCAAAAACAAGACUUCAGAUGCUCCAAACUCACACUUGUGUUUAGCAAUGUAUAACUGUUCUUUGCGCAAAGCCAGUAGUACAUCACGCAAGUGACCCAGAUGUGCGUCAAGUGUGGUGCUGAAGAUAAGGAUAUCAUCAAAAUAGACGACAACAAAUCGUCCAAUAAAGGGGCGGAGGGCCUGAUUCAUGACACGCAUAAACGUGCUGGGUGCGUUAGAAAGCCCAAAUGGCAUGACUAACCACUCAAACAGACCUUCUCGAGUUUUGAAUGCUGUUUUCCACUCAUCUCCCGGUCGAAUUCGAAUCUGAUAGUAACCGCUUUUCAGGUCCAGUUUGGUGAAGAUAGUCGCCUUGCUGAUUUGAUCUAAAAGAUCAUCUAGUCUCGGUAUUGGGAACCUAUACCGGGUUGUUAUUUUGUUGAUAGCCAGACUGUCAACACACAUGCGCCAAGACCGAUCCUUCUUUGGUAUUAAUAAAGCUGGGACUGCGCACAGACUCAGACUUUCCCGGACGUAACCUUUGAGAAGGAGUUCUUCCACUUGGCGCCGAAGUUCUUCGUGUUCCUCAGGACUCAUACGAUAAUGUGCGCGGUUAGGUAGAACCGUGUUGGGCACAAGAUCAAUAUGAUGCUGGAUGUCUCGUAACGGUGGUAAGCCAGCCGGUAGGUCUUCCGGAAACAAAUCAUCAAACUCCUUUAGAAUAGGUGAGAAAGCAGGUGGCCACGGUUGUUGCUGAGUUGGUGACGGUGGGACUGCAACUAACUCAAAUAUCGAGCGGGAAUCACGUAGUUCAAGUUCAAAUUGUGAUCGAGAGAUGAUCAACAAUUUUUUCUGUGGUGGCGGCUGUUGGCUGUUGCUUGAGCUUGCAGGAUCUGUGUCUGGUGUUGGUAGAAGCGUAAUCUUGUGACCCUCAAACAUAAAAGAGUUUGUAUUUGUUUUGCCAUUGUGUAUUACCUCUCUGUUGUAUUGCCAUGGCCGCCCGAGUAUGAUAUGUGAGACAUCCAUAGGGGCGAUAUCACAAUAUAAAUUGUCCUUAUAGAAGGAACCGAUAGAGAGAGUUAGCAACGUUCGCUGAGAAACGUAGACUUCUGCACCUGUUUGCAUCCAAAGCAAUCGGUAAGGAUGGGGGUGAGCUUCUGCUGUGAGCGUGAGCUUUCGAACAGCUUCUUCAGAUACUACGUUUGUUGAACAUCCCGAAUCGAUCACAAAGCGACAAACCUUUCCCUUGACCGUACAUGUCGAGGAAAAUAGGGAUGUUUGUUGCCAUGCUUCAUUGGUUUUGGGGGCGAAACAGUUGCGGCGUAACAUUAGAAAAGUUCCGGUAUCGCCAUGAACUUGUUCUUCAUCGACCUCCUCGCACUGAAAUUCGUCAUCGUCAUAAAUUGGCUCGCCGACAAAAUCCUGGUCGGUAGCUAUCAGUCCAAGGCGACUCUUAUUAGGACAGGCCGUCUGUAUAUGGCCCCGCUCACCACAGGUGAAGCAACGGAGUGCGUUAGGACGCGAAGGCCUAGCUUCGGCUGCUGCUGUGACAGUGUUUGUCGGGUGUGUGGUUUGGUUCUGGCCUGUUGAGUUUGUCGUAGCUGUGGUGGACUUGGAGUCAUGCGUGAACGAUUGUUCCCCGGCCACUGGUUAGCUCCUAAGCGUGUCUGUUGUUUGACUAGCAAAGCUCUUUGACGUGCCUCCGCGACGGAACUUGGAUCAAACUGUUGUAGCAUAUUCUGAAGUUGAGAAUGGAGACCUGCGAUAAAUCGAGCCACAAGCUGGUCCUCAGAGUCAUGAAUAUCCACACGCGUCAGCAUCUGGUAGAAUUCAUUAGCAUAAUCUUCAACGGAGCGCGAUCCUUGUCGAAUGUUGUGAAACUUCUGGAAUAGGAGACGCUCAAAGUUGUAUGGAAUGAAAGUUUUUCGCAUAUGCUUUUUCAAUUUGUCCCACGACUGAAUCUUCUCUUUCCCACACCGAUUACGUGUUAAUUUAACCUGAUUCCACCAAGAGGCGGCGUGGCUGCGGAAUCGCGUUGUUACAUAGGAAACUUGUUUGUUUGCUGGAGCCUCCUUGAACUCUAGGAAUUCGUCAGCCGCAACGAACCAAUCAAGUAAUUCUUCCGGUUGUGAGCCACCAUGAUACUCGGGAAUGUCUAGUUUGAUACCCGUUAACCAUCGUGGAUUUUCGUCGUUGUGGUAUUGAUGUUGUCGAUGCUGGGGUUGAUGACGAUGUUGGUUGUUGUCGCCGAAGGGAUGGCUUGGUCGUCGUCGUCAUCGCGUUCGUCAAAGAUGGGGUUGUUAUUAUGGCAUUGGCGUGGAGCUAUGAGGGCGUUGUCCGCUGCGUUUGCAGCGAGGGCGGCCUGAACUCCAGCUUGAACUCCGGUCUGAAUAGCUUCAGCCACUGUCCGUCUCAUAUUGUCUUGGAAAUUCUCCUGAAAGUCUUCCAGGAACUGCUGCAUUUGUGUCCAUUCGUUUGGAUGAGGAGCCAUUGAAACCAAAGAUCGAUAAUCACGAGUAGAAUCGUAAUUAAAAAGGUCUCUGAUAUCAACUAAUAGAGCGGAAGUAACGUUAGUAACCGAUAAUACGAAGGUAACGUUGAAUUCUGAGAAUGCCCGUUAACUAAGCCUUCUUAAAGUCUGUUGAAUUCUCAAAGAAUGCCCAGAAGCUAAGGAUCAAGAGUUGUUUAAAGCAAAGCUCUAAGUUUUUAUAAAUAAAUAAUCAAAAAGUGUAUCUCUCACAAACCUAAGAGAUCACAUUAUAUAGUUAUUAAAAUUCCUAAAACCGACAGAAUAAAGGAAACCAAAUCAUUCUUGGAAAAGGAAUGUAAAGCUUAACUAAAAAGGCAAUAAGGAAAUAAGAAAACCAAAACCUAAGGGGAAUACGAUGUACGGUACAUCAGGCUCAGAGGAAGAAAAACACUUAUUGUGAUAGAGUGAUGAUGAAAGGGGCAGAAGCUAAUUAGGAAGUAUAAUAACAAACGCAAGUUAACUUUCAAUCUUAAAAAGUUUACAUGAUAAUAAGAUUUAUAACCAAAAUUUUCAAUCUUAUAACUGAAAUACUAACAGCAAUAUUCAAAAAAAAAAAACUAGACUCUAAAUUAGAGAAUAUUUAUUGAAACCCCGCAUGUAUAUGCAGGGGUUCACCUAGUAAUCAUAAAGGUUGGAAUACAUACACUUAUGUAGAGAUGGCAAAGUGGAGGCUUGCCCGCAGGACUGGCCCGAAAAAGUCCAUUGCGGGGCGGGAUUGGGCACAAAUUUUACGGCCCGUUUGUUAGCGGGGCCUCGCGGGCAUGACCGCGACGGUAUUGGGCCAAAGCGGGUUGGGCCAAAGCGGGACGCGGGAUAAUUGGGUGGCCCGCUUGACUUUUCUCGUUUCUUUUCUUUGGUGACACCAACAAUGGCGGUUUCUCGUCUCUGCUUCUUCUUCUCCGAUCGGUGACCAGAACUCAUUCACUUCGGUCGUGUCUCUUCUGGUUCUCUUUCGAUCAAGGAGUUGUCUCCUGUUCAAUCUUUCACUCGUCUCUUCAUCUCUUAUAUUCACAGAAACUUCUUCACCACUUCUCUUCUUCUUCAACAUUGCGACCACAGCACAGGUAUAUACUCCGAUCCUCUCUGUUGAACUUGCUGUAAGUUUUCACACUGUUGUACCUCUAAUCAUUCGAUUACUGAAUCAUACCAAUCAUUAAAGAUUGGUAACUACAUUUUCUAGCAACUAAUGCUUGUAACUUGAAUGCUGAUGAGACCAACUUGAUAAUGUACACAAACGUCUUAUGCUAUUAACUAAUGCUUGUAACAAAGGAGAAUAAUGCUUGUAACAAAUGUGACCAAUGCUUGUAACAUGAUGGAUUUGAAAGUUAGUGUCUUAUUCAGCUGAUAAAUAAUCUUUCUUUAUAAAUUAGUUUGCUCAUCUCGGUAACCUUACUCUAUUUUCACUUUUUGUUUUAGGGUUAAGGUUCUUGUGCGUUGUACUUCUUCCAUUUUGUAUCCAGCCAAAGUUCGUUGUUUCUUUUUGCUGUAAGAGCAUCUUCAGCUCCUCUUUAUUUUUCACUUAAAAAUAGAUUUAGAAUAAAAAGAAUUUUAAUCCAGUUUUAUUUUUCAUUUUAUAAUAGAAUUACUCAUUUUUGUGUUCGUCAUUCUAAUUUUCACUUUAAAUAGAGUAGUACUAGGUAAUAAUCCGCGUCUUGCACGGGAUGUGAUUAUUAGUUUUGUUAUUUUUAAUAAAAACACAUUAAAUCUGUUUAAUCUGGAUAUCGGUUCGGUUUUUAAUCUCCUAAAAUAUAACUAUUAUUUUAAAUUAAUAUAUAUUUUGGUUUUUUCGGUUAGAAUGUUUGAUUUUUUAGUUUUUCGGUAAAAACCAAAAAUUAAUAUUAUUUGCUUAUUUUCAUGUUAUGAAUUUAGAUAGUCGCCAUGUCGAACCAAUGUUUCAUAUCAUAGUUUGUAAACGGAUAAUAGUUCAAGAAAAAAAAAAUUAUUAAGAUAAAUCAUUUCACUACAAUUUGGUCGGUAGUGAAAGAAGCAUUAAGAAAAAAAAAUUCUAACUUCCAAAAACAAAAAAAUACUUCAGUCGUGGUAAAUAAUUAGUUACAAGGUGCUCACAUCAAGGUGCACAUGUAUGUGUAUGUUAAAGUAUAUAAAAAUAGUUAACAAAUAUAUAAAGAUAUUGUUAAUUAAUAUUAAAUGACAUUUUUGUUCAAAAUAAUACAUGAAAGAUAAAAGUUAAAUUAAUUAAAAAUUAAAAAGACUUUGACAUUAGUGAAUUUAUUUCUUAUAAAGAAAAUAAAUUGUAUCCGUAAAUAGACGUGGGAACAGACCGAAUAUCCGGGUAUUUGGAGGCAUUCAUGUCGAUUCAAUCUUUAGCCACCUGGAUAGUCAGUGACUCUGAUAUAUGAAAUAAUUUAGAAUUUUAAAGAAUAUCCGAUUUGAUCAGUAAAUAAAAUAAAAGUUUUAAAAAUAAUUGAAAAAUUUAAUGAAAACAUUUUAUUACAAAAAUAAAAUAUUAUUUAACUUUUUAAAUUUUAAUACCUAAUAUAAUAAAUUUAAUUCAUAAAAAUAUUGUAAAACUUAUAUAAACUAUAAUAUAUAUAACAUAUACAUAUAUAUAUAUAUAUAUAUGCAUAUAACUGAUCGAAUUAGAUAUAUGUUCCUAAAAUUGGUAUUUGUGAUUUGCUUUUUUUUAUAUUGUAUUUUAGUAUUUGAUUUGCUUCGUAGAGUUACGGAUAUCUAUAUUUUUUUGUUUCAAUCAAAACAGAUAACGAAUCAAAUCAAAAUUUAUAAAUAUUUUGCCCAACUUUAUCCGUAGACAAUAAAAAUAAUAUAUAUAAAUAUAUAUACAUAGUUUAGCUAUUGAUUCGUUAUUUGUUUUGAUUUGAACCAAAAAAUCCAAAGUAUAUAGUGUGAACACAUCCCCUAUAUAUUAAUUGAGGAACAUUUGAAAAGAUGUAACCUCAAUUUUGUAAUAAUUAAAAAAUAUUCAUUGCUUAUGUGUCAAUCAAUUAGGUAGUUAAUUAAUCAUAUGUGUCAGCCUCACAUUGAAAUUGAAAAACAUGUUGAUCCAAUUCGAUUUUUAUAUCUCACUAGAAACAUUUAAUACCAACUAUAUGAUAUCAUAUGAUAUUAAAAAAGCAAGGUGGCUAUUUCUUAUAUAUUAUUUCCUUAAAUAAAACCUACGGAAUUACCUAAUGAAAUUAUGAUAUAUAUAUAGUAAUUAAUGAUUUUAAAUAAUGAAGAAUUGCUAAUAAUAUGUAUGCUUUCUAUCAUUUUUAUUUAAUUCCUUACUAUUAAAAUAAAUUACACAAUUACAUUAAUCAUAUAUUAAAAAUUUAGAUUUUUUUGUAUAUGUUGUAUUUUAAAUUUUUCAAAACGAGUAUAAAUUACUAAAACUGUUAAAAGUCUCACAUAAACUUCUGUGAUCAAUGUUUAAAUUUUUUUCUAUAAUAAGAUACAAUGAUAAUAAAAUCAUAUAAAUAAAUAAUUUUAUUUUAAUAGGUGUUUAUGUUAAUAUAUAUAUAUAUAUACUUCAUAUCGUUUAAAUUUAAUUAUAUAUCAUAUACGAUAGAUAAGAUUGAUUGUUUUGAUUUAUUUAUUCUAAAAUGAUUGAGAAUAAACAAGAGCGAUCAUUUGAUUUAUAUGUGCAAGCCAAUUUAUUACAUAAUAAUAAAUGAUUUCUUAGUUAUUUAAUAUAUAAUUAUUGUUUUAUUAUUUCAUAAUAUGCAGAAAAAUCUAAAAUAAGUAUUUAUUCUGCACAAGGCGCAUAUCUUAACCUAAGUACGUAUCUCUUUAAUAAUUUUGAAUCUUAAACAUUUUUUAAAUAUCAGGCCAAAAGAACAAAAAGAAAUGAGAAUAAACUGAAAAAUCAAUAUUUAUAUCGAGCAAUAAAAAAAUAACACAAAAUGAGAAAAAUAUCGAAGAUAGAUAGGAUUGGCACGUGAACGUAAACUCCUCAUAACGAUAAUUAACUUUUAAAUUGUUAAAUCAUGAUAUAAAACCGAGCUGACAUAGUUUCAUUGUAACCAAAUAGUAGGCAUGAGAUUCUUCGACCUAAAAGUUAGGUUUUUAUGCGAUAAAUAACUUUUUGACCUAAAAUAUUUUUAAAAAUGAAAUCAGUUCAUUAGUAAACAAAUUAUGUAAUUAACAAAAAAAGGUUUAAAAAUUUUUUUAAGAGUCAAAUAUAUUAAUUCGAUCAAUAAUAUAUUUUUUUUUCUAUACGAUAUUUCUUAAAUAAUUUUCAUAUAAAUUUACCCCGCACAAGAGGCAAGUCUUAUCCUAGUUUAUGAUUAUAGUGUGAACGCGUUAGCAUACCUAUUAUCAAUUUGUGAGGCUGUUACGUGUCUAUUAUAGUGUGAAUGCAUUUAUUAUAAUGUUUCUCCUUUAAUAUAUAAGGGAUUGGAGUUGAACCAACUCUAUUAUAAAAAAAAAUCAUUGGAGAUGAUCUAGUACAAACCAAGCUGACAUAGAGAACAUAAUUACCAUGAUAUGUUCUCCUUUAUUGGGCUUGAUAUAAAGCUUAUGGCUAAUCUGUUACUUAAUAAUUUUAAGUUCAAAAAUGAAGUAAAACUGAUCCCACACAUAAGUAGAAAGAAUUUAGAGCGAAUUUCACUUGUGCAAUAUUUUUUUCAGGUUUUAAACUUUUGAGAAGUUUUGUGAUGCCACUAAACUUCAUGUUUUAGUACUUGCAUGUAAAAAGUAUGGGUUAUGCCCUGAUUUGUUUAGCAAUGGUUAUUAUUCAUAGUUUUACCAAAAAAAAUCAAACUUUGUUGUUUUAUUUGCUGGGUUUUUGUGUGUAUGCAUGUUUUUUUUUGUUAAAGAAAACUUAAGAAUGACAUGGUUAUAUAUUGUAUGUGGAAUUUAAGCUUUAUGAGUAAAAUAUAAAGAAAAAUUUAAUAAUUUAUAAUUUUCGAAAAAAUAUAAAAUAAAUAACAACUAAAUUUUAAAAAUCCAACUUCAAUAAUAAUAAAAAAAAAAACUAAAACAAAAUAUUCGUCCAACAAAUACUGUCUGGAAGCUUCUAAAUCCAACAUGCUAUUUGCAUGGUGUUUCCCAAACCAAACAAAUUAUCUCCCACACAAAUAAUGAGACAAAAAUCCAAAAUACUCUAAAAUUAUUUCUUUUCUACAAAAAGUUAUUUCCACAAAUUUAUAGAUUUUCAGCAAUCUCGGCAAAAUAUCAAAAUCCGUAACAGAAAACAAUCCUUGCCUCACACGAGAGACCAUGUCGAGUCCCUGACGGUUACCUUAACCACACAAUACAUCCAUCCUUGGUUGUUCAAUUUUUAUGAAAAGGGGUAUAUAAGUCAUUUAACGUCUACGCUCGAACGCAUUAUAAGAAAACGGCUUAGAAAAAAAUAAAAAAAAUAAAUUUCUGUGAGGUUUGAGUUUGUUUCUCAGAAUAGUUUAGAAACAAAAAUGGCGACGAGGGUACCUUUGUUCAGCCAAUUCACCUGCAAAACCCUAGUCACCAGCUCAACGACUUCUACAUUCCAAUCAAAAUCUCCGAUUCUGUUACCCAUCAAUCCAAUCAAUCGGCGAAUCGCUGUUCAUCGGCACGAUUUCAAGAUCCGAGCCAGUGACGUCAAUGACGAGUGGGGUCCGGACUCCAUGGGCCGAGGCAGUGACGUUGACGACGAGUGGGGCCCCGAGAUAGGAUUGAACUCAUCGGUGGCGGAGAAAGUGGCAGAAGAAGCCAUCGAGUCCGCGGAGGAGACGGAGCGGCUUAAGAGAGUGCUAGCGGGUUCUCUGUACGGAACAGAUCGAGGUCUAAGCGCAUCGAGCGAGACGAGAGCGGAGAUCAGUGAGCUGAUAACGCAGCUCGAGUCCAAGAACCCUAACCCUGCUCCUAACGAGGCUCUGUUUCUCCUCAACGGCAAAUGGAUUCUCGUGUAAGUUUAUAUUCUAUUAUCUCACUUUUCCUUAUACGAACCAGGGAGAUGAUUAAAAAUUAGUUAUAUAGUUCGGGAUAAAAUUGUUAGGUGAAAUUCUCAUAAGAUUAUCACCCCACUAAUGGCUAUAAUAAACUUAUGAUUGUCCAAUCUCAUAGGUGUUACAAUGAAUGAAAUAUCCAUCUGUUCCACAGAUAUAUACUUUUUAUUAUUUUCAUACAUACUAAAAAAACACAUUAAACUACCAUAAUAUAAUAUAUCGUUUUCUCUGUAAUUUUCAAUUUUCAAUAACUUUUAACCAAUAGUCAUUCAAUAAAGUUAAUUAAUUUUCUUGAAGUUUACAAUUUUUUCAUAGAAAACAUAAAUAAUACAUAUUUCUGAAACAAAUUUUUUUUCUUAAAAGUUUAUAGUUAAAGAACGGAGGGAGUAAUAUUCAUCUUCGUCCACAGUCCGUGAUUUAUUUAUUAAACUGGAUUAGUGUGAGGGCCUGUACUGAGAUUUAUGCGGGUUUAAAUAAUUAUGGAUUAAAAAUUGGAUGAGUAUUUUUUUUUUUGUUUAUUUGUAGCUGUUAAAGUCGUAGCUGUGCGUUAUCUCAUCGUUAUGAAUGAAGAACUUAAUCUUCUUAUUGCAGCUAUACAUCGUUUGUUGGCCUGUUCCCAUUGCUCUCACGCAGAAUCUCACCGUUGGUUAAAGUGGAUGAGAUCUCACAAACCAUUGAUUCCGACAGCUUCACCGUACACAACUCUGUCCGGUUCGCUGGUCCACUUGCAACAACAUCGCUUAGCACCAACGCUAAAUUCGAAGUCCGAAGUCCUAAACGCGUCCAGGUUAAUCAUCAUUCAUCGAUAACAACCUAAAACAACAGAUGUCCAAUUUUCGUUUUGCGUAACCUAACUGAUGGCUUUUGUUUGCUUGUAGGUCAAGUUUGAGCAAGGCGUUAUCGGAACUCCACAACUAACGGAUUCGAUUGAAAUCCCGGAGUUCGUCGAGGUUCUCGGUCAGAAAAUCGAUCUCAACCCCAUCAGAGGGCUACUCACAUCGGUCCAAGACACGGCUUCUUCAGUGGCUAGAACCAUUUCAAGCCAGCCACCGUUGAAAUUCUCUUUGCCUGGAGACAGUGCACAGUCGUGGCUGCUCACCACUUAUCUCGACAAAGACCUUCGGAUCUCUAGAGGCGAUGGUGGAAGCGUCUUUGUGCUCAUCAGAGAAGGAAGCUCUCUCUUAAACCCUUAAGUCAUCGUUACUACUCACAUCACAUCCGUAUAGUAACUUAUAUAGAACCAUAAGUCUGUGCUUAAUAGUGUUGUAACUGUUAUAUACUUUACUCGUUGGAGAGUUGUAAAUGGAUGUAACUCAUGGAAUAUAUAUAUAUACAUAUCGAUACGUAAUUAAACCGCCUGGUUAAGAGUUUUGCUAUACCAACACUAAGCACUUAUUCAAAUGUGGUAAAGUUGUCAGAUGUAUAUAUAUGCUCAGUUCAGAACUUCGGAUCACGGUUCUCAACAUUCUGGUUUGGUCCGGUUCGAGUUUACAAAGGUGUACCAUUCAGUCUAUUUAUUACUUAGAAAACCGGUUCGUUACAAAACCGAUGUAUCUUCUUACACAAACAACUGAAAGAAACAAGUGAUCUUUGUACUCUUUUAGUUACGAACACAAGAACAAAUCAGCACAAACCUCGUAGAAGAUCUCGAGAAUGGCAGACCGAUAUUCGCGAGGAUUCAUUGAUAGAUAGUACUCCAAGAGGCUUCUAAGUUCAUCUGCUUCUCUGAUCUUGUUUGCAACAAUCAUUUCGACCAUGGAUUCUCUGAAAUCCGCUCUUGGAUCAUAAGAACAUUUCUCCAUUGCCAUCAUCACUAUGAACUUAGUGUUACUGAUGCUACUCUUGCUUCUUCUUCUCCUCCUCCUCAUCAUUUGUUCUCUUAACUUCUCUUGGUGUGUGGCUUCUUGUGUCUCUCUGAUCAUCUGCUCUAGCUUCUCCUGAACCAUGUAGUGUGUUAGGCUAGAGAGCGAACAGUGCUGAUCUGAGAAAUUAGAAUGCCUGUCCAAUUCCACCGAAGAAGAAGAAGAAGACGAAAUGCUGAGUCUCGCUUUGUUGCUGCAACACAAAGCUCUGCAGAUUCUUGAUUCUCUUGUUUGGUUUUGUGUUUGUUUGUUCUGUCUUUUCUUAUUUUUUUCUGUUUCUGUUUCUGUUUCUGUUUCCGCUCUGUUUGUGAUUUUCAUGUUGAAUGUUAAGUCACAUUAUAGACAUAAUUUUGAAUGAGAUGUCUGUUAACGUUGAUAAAAAAGAGUUCUAGUUUAUGUGUAAUUGGAAUUGUGGGUCAUGUUCAUCAUGAUUAUGUCUACAUUCUAAUUCUAUUUAAAAUACUCUAAAAAGAGAUUAUUUUAAUUGUGAGUUAAAAAUUAACCAAUAGGCCAAAUUUUAAGCAAAAAAAAAAACAAUUAACCAAUAGGCUGACAAUACAUAUUCGAAUAUUUUGAUGUGAACUGAAAAAAAAUAUGCAAGGCAAAUUAGAUGCGUUACAAAAUUGUUGUCUUCAGUGAAAUUUGAUUCAUAUUUAAGAUCAAUAGAAAAUUUAUUAGUGAAAUCAUUUAACGGAUAUAUAUAUACAAGAUUUAUCUAAAAGAAAAACAUAUUAUAUCUUUUUGAAAAUACAUAUCUCAAAUCAAAUGUUGGGAAUAAUAAAGAAGAUUAGGUAUGAUUAAAGAUAUUUGAAAAGAAAAAAAACUAAGAAAAAGAUAUCUAAAUGCAUGUAUUUGUGUGUGGUUUGGAAUAUAGGGGUGAUUAAUUUGAUUAUGGUAUGAUGUAGAUGACUACUUUAUUUUUGUAGUUGUUGGAAGACGGGAUAUCUAUACUUUAUACUUUUGAAAGUGUUUUUUUUUUUGGUAAUGUGGAAAAAAGUGAUCUCUAAUACUCAUAGGAUGUGUUGAUAAACACUUAACUUCAGUUUCGGUUCACAUGACUACUGGUGAACUCUUUACCUUCAGCUUUUGUUUCUCACAUUUUCCCAAAGGGGUCGUAUUAAGAUUUUUAAAUUUUAAUAGUUCAUAGAUAAUUGUUAUGGGCCAUACAUGAUUUCAGGCUGUAUUGUGGUAAAAACUGGUUAAACUUGUUAUAUAAAAAAUAUACAGUAAGACAUAAGAGAACGUAUGGCUGUUGUUGCGUUGGAGACAAGACAUGCUUUAUCUUGCUGGCUUGUACAUAUAUACCUCAUAUUUUUCUUCGAGGCUUUAGACCGUUUUAUAAUACCGCAUCUUUAUUGGUAGAUAAACACUUGGUUUUUCAACAUUUUAUAUAAAUAUUGUCAAUAAUUUAUUUCGCAGAAAGAAUAGCAUUGUUGAACCAGAACUGGACAUGAUCCCUGGAUAAUCUGGUAUAUCUGGAAGGUGAAUGGCAAACUCUUUAGAAAGAAUGACAGGGAUCCUUUGAAACUAGUCUGAUAUGUAGAAAAUGAAUGUCAAGCCUAGUUUAAUGCAAAUGAGAUGGUCACUCCAGCUCCACAAGAACAUAGUAGCGAAGAACUCCAAGUCAUAAGCCUAGAUAAUAUAUGCAUGGUGGGUGGUUCAUGGACUUCCACAGCACAAUUCAAUGGUUGUGGUUGGGUUUGAAAUGUUAGUUUUAGAAAGAUUCAGCUCAUGAGAACGAGAAACUUAAGGAGACGAGAGACUAUUUUACAUUCGGAAAUAGAAGUACUACGAUGGGUAAUGAAGAGCAUACUACAUCAUUUGUCAUGUAAGAGUUUUGAGACAGAUUGCAAGGAUCUGAUCGCGAUGAUAAAGGAGCCUCAAGCUUGGCCAAGUUUUGCAACAGAACUGGAAGCCAUAAAAACGCUGCAGAUAUGCUUUCCAGAUUUCAAAAUAUCUCAUAUUCCAAAGGCACAAAAUGGAAUUUCAGAUUCUUUAUCUAAGAUUGCUAGAUUUUUUCAUAGGAAGUUUUGUUAUAUUGCUUGUUUUAUUCUGGUCUGGUUACCUAGACCACCUCAAAUUGGAGUAAUAGAAUAGCCGUUCAUUGUAAAAAAAAAAAAAACCCAGGAUCUAAUGACCUGCUGACCAUAGACCACUUAGGCAAUGAAAUAUGAUAAGAAGUUAACUUGAAAACAAGAUAUAUGAGAUUUGUUGUAAGAAAAAUAUUAAUAUUUAAUAUUUAUUGUAUAUAUCUAAGUUGCAACCAGAUCCAAAAUUCUCUGCUUAAUAUUUUACAGUUAUAGCUUACAUUUCAGGGCUAAUCACUUCUUGAAACAUAUAUAUAAGUUGACUACCGUAAGAUUUACCAAUAAAUAUUAUGAUUUACCCAUAGGUGUCAAAAUGGAUUUUUGAAACACACAUAUAUAUAUAUAUAUAUUAAUGUAUUUAAUUAUUUACCAUAGUUGUCAAUAUGGUUUUUUCUGUAGUACAAACAAAUGGUUUAAUUAUUUUCUCAAAAAAAAAAAGGUUUAUUCUACAGAGUUCAUUCACCGUACUGGUUAACAAAAAACAUUAACAGAUAACAGCAAGAGAAACAGUUCUACAAAAUCAAUAGAAUAUGUAGAAAUGAAUCAACUUACAAGACUUCAUUUUUGGCUGACAUAGAAACAAUUUAUACUGGUUGCGCAAACAAAAUAUUAUUUAUCUCUUAACGGCUAGGACAAACUCGAAUGUAGACUAUGCUUCUAGUUUACGAGACUUUUUUUGUAACAAGGCUAGAUUUAUGGGACUUUUCUUUAAUCAUGAUUUAUUGUUAUUCUUGAUUUUUGAUGACUUAUUGUAUACAAACAAAUUGGAUAUGGUUUCCCCUAUAUAUACAUAUAUAUAUACAUUUAUGUAGUUAUUAACUUUAAAAUCUUUUAAGAACAAGUUACCCAACAAAAGAGUAUGCAAUAAUUGGAGAUUAACCCCAAAAGAUGGUACACCGCUGGAGAGAAUCACUUUGUGAGAUUUACAUUUCUUUGUAGGUUCUAAAAUUGAGUCUUUUAAGGAUUUUGUCAUGUGACAAUAUCCAUAUGUGUUUUUAUUUUGGUGGUGAAUUCUUAAUUAGCCUGAUAGACUCAAAAGUGAACUUUAAGAACAAAAAAAAAAAAAACUUUAAGAACGAGAAAA
rnacentral:lncRNA from 1 species